AAACAUUACUUCUCUCUUAUUUUUCAGCUCAAUUUCUCUUUGAUCUCUCUACUCUCUCCGCUUCUCUUCUCUCUGUCACUCAACCUCAUCGACCAAGGUGGUUUCCGGCGGGAAGGGACAAGAAUCAAGCUUCGAUUUUGGGUGUAAUCGUCUCUAUAGACCCAUCAAACACUGUAUCAAAGCUCAGAACGCGUCAAUUUUGGUAACAUGAGGAGGAAAUCAGUUGCUAAGAAGCAUAUUCAUUUGACAAAGCCUUCAAAGCCUUCAAACAUGAAAGAAAAUGCAGAAAAAGAAGCAUUGCCAAGUAAAGCAGCCGCUGAGCCUUCAAAAACCGCUACUAGAAAAUGAAAUGUAGAUACUUCUAAAGCUUCCCCUAGUAAAAGAAUGUUGAGAUUUCUAAGCGUGAUAGGAGUAAAAAGAACAAAGAGCCAUCAAAGUCUAUCAGUAAAAAAAGAACAAGAUCAAAGUCUAGAUUAGUAUACAAACACAUACAUGUUAGUAAAAAAUCUAUUUCAAGGAGGUUAGCAUUAGAGGGUGUUGAUGAGGAGGAGGAAGAAGACUUGGACAUAAAUGCAGCACAAAGUCAAAAGGAAGAACAGGUUUCUAAAAAAGCAAUUGUUGAAGAAGAAAAGGACAGUGAUGAUGAAUCUUUAGGUGUGGAGGAUGAUGAAAGUGGUGAUGAUGCUGGUUGAUAAAGAUGUUGAAGAAGAAAAGGAAGAAGUAGGGAUGACAAAUGAGACGAGGCGGGGCGGUUUUCAGCAUUCACGGGGCGGGGCAGGGCAGGUUACAAUGUUUGCGGGGCGGGGCGGGGCCUAAUUCUUUUAAAAAAAAUUAACGUGGGGCGGGUCGCGGGUCGCGGGUUUUUUAAAACCUAAAUCUUGAACUAAAAGUCUAAAACGCUACCAGAUCCUAAAUCUUGAACUAAAACCUAAAUACCAGAUCCUCCACGCGGGUUCUUUUUGUAUAAUUUUUAUUCAGUUUUUAUUUCAUUGUUCAAGAAGAAAAAAUAUUUUAUUUUUAGAGGACAUUUGAAUUAAAAGAAAAAAGAAAAGAAGAAGACUUAGCAUUUUCAGUAUAUUUGAAAGUCACAAACAAUGAAGUAGUGUAAAUCUUUUAAGAGAUUUUACACUGUUAAAUUUUUUAUCACAACCAGUUUUAUUGUUAAUGUAAUUAUCCAAAAUGUAUCAAUUUUAGUUGAAAAUUUUUUUAUGGCCAUUCAA